rnacentral:rRNA from 1 species
GACGAACGCUGGCGGCGUGCUUAACACAUGCAAGUCGAACGGUGAGGCCCUGAUCUUGUGGUGUGCUCGAGUGGCGAACGGGUGAGUAACACGUGAGUAUCCUGCCCUUUACUUCGGGAGAACUUCAGGGAACUCGGGCUAUAAUCCGGCAGGAGCUUCGGCUGCACGGUGGAUGUUGGAGAGAUUCGCCGGUUGGGGAUGACCUCGCGGCCCUGCGGCUUGUUGGUUGGGUGGUGGCUUACCCAGGCAUUGAGGGGUGGCCGGCCUGAGAGGGUGACCGGCCACAUUCGGACUGAGGUGCCGCCCGUACGCCUUCGGCAGCCAGCAGUGCGGAAUUGUGCAAGCUGGGCGGAAGCCGUAUGCAGCAUCGCCGCGUGCUGGAUGACGGCCUUCGGGUUGUAAACCGCGUUCGCCUGCGACGAAGCGUGUGUGACGGUAAUGUGUAAGGAAGCGCCGGCUAACUACGUG